AUUGAACGCUGGCGGCAGGCCUAACACAUGCAAGUCGAACGAGUGGCGGACGGGUGAGUAAUGUCUGGGAAACUGACCGAUGGAGGGGGAUAACUACUGGAAACGGUAGCUAAUACCGCAUACCAUCGGAUGUGCCCAGAUGGGAUUAGCUAGUUGGUGGGGUAACGGCUCACCAAGGCGACGAUCCCUAGCUGGUCCGAGAGGAUGACCAGCCACACUGGAACUUAGACACGGUCCAGACUCCUACGGGAGGCAGCAGUAGGGAAUCUUCGGCAAUGGGCGCAAGCCUGAUCGAGCCAUGCCGCGUGUGUGAAGAAGGCUUUCGGGUUGUAAAAUUCUGUUAUCGGAGAGGCGUUAUCCAACCAGGAAGCCCCGGCUAACGCCGUGCCAGCAGCCGCGGUAAUAC
rnacentral:rRNA from 1 species